AUGAAUUCUGUGUUCACGGUGAAGCAGAGUCGCUUCUUCUGCAACAAUGAAGUUCAAAGGAUGAUCUUGUUACGGUGGGAGGAGGAGGUUUCUCUCUGUGAGCCGGUCUGUGUGUCGCUGUCUGACACACCUGGCAAAUAUGUGGCUGUGCCAGUAAUGGGACAGUCGGUGGAUCAAUGAGAAACACAACAACGCACUGAAUCUCAACGACAGCCUGCAGGAAGAAGGCGAGAGGUGAAUGAAGGGGGAGAGUAAGGUGGGGAAAAAGAGACGAAGACAGUUCUACCUGAAAUAAAAUGUAUGUUUACAUAUUGUUUCUUUUGCCAACACUUAUUCAGAGUUCCCUCGCUGGAAAACAGGGACAUUUAGAGACUAUUUUACAGUUAUGGAAACACCUUGUAAUUUAUUAAAAUGGCCAAAUAUCCUGGAAAACUUAAUUUCGGCUCCUCUCAGUAUUAAGUUUAAAAGUCGUCUGUUGGUAGUUAAACGUGUCAAUGCUGUCAGUACAUUAUAUGACUGUUUGAGAGUGGGAACCCUGUGACUGACGUCACCUGACGGGUUGAUCCAGCUGCUGUUUGUUGGGAGUUGAAAUCAAGACUCAAAUAUAGCAGCAACACACUCCACAUCUUUACUCUUCAGUGUCAGUGUUCACCCUAAUUCAAAAUGAGACAAUGAACAUUCACGUUUAACUACAACCUUCAAUUCUGCAUCAGACAUCAAUCUUUACCUUAAUCACACACACAAAAAUGGACGGUUAGUCUCUCUGAGCUGCUAGCUCAGCUACAACACAGCUGGUAGUUUAGCUACAAAGGCUGUGAAUGUGCUUCUAGUGACUGUAAAACCUCCAGUGGACUUUUUAUCCAGUUUGAAGCCACAUUGUUACCAUCCACUGUUUAGAUCUUGGUGCUAACUCUAAAUUUGAACCGGAUGAAGGAUUUUAGUCAUCGGACGUCUGGAUCUUAAGUUAUCAGAGAAACAAGCUGAGCUAACGUUAGCAUUAGCUCGGCUCGCAGCCCCUCCGGGACGUCCUUUGUCUGUCCAACAGCGUGGGAGAAGCAGUGAUUGUUAAGGUGGAACUGCUUUAUUCAGUGUGUUUAGUGGUUUUAAUCAGCGGGUCUGUUUGUGUUGGAGAGGAGGAGACCUCUGUGGAUCAUUGGGCUCCCGGUAGAAACCUCCUGAACCAUGAACACUGAAGGAAUCCUAACCGGGAGAAGCUGACUGCAAUGACGGCAACUCCCAUGAUACCACGCUGCUGUAAUGUCUAAUA
rnacentral:lncRNA from 15 species